AUUGAACGCUGGCGGCAGGCCUACACAUGCAAGUCCAGCGGAUGAAGGGAGCUUGCUCCUGGAUUCAGCGGCGGACAGGUGAGUAAUGCCUAGGAAUCUGCCUGGUAGUGGGGGAUAACGUCCGGAAACGGGCGCUAAUACCGCAUACGUCCUGAGGGAGAAAGUGGGGGAUCUUCGGACCUCACGCUAUCAGAUGAGCCUAGGUCGGAUUAGCUAGUUGGUGGGGUAAAGGCCUACCAAGGCGACGAUCCGUAACUGGUCUGAGAGGAUGAUCAGUCACACUGGAACUGAGACACGGUCCAGACUCCUACGGGAGGCAGCAGUGGGGAAUAUUGGACAAUGGGCGAAAGCCUGAUCCAGCCAUGCCGCGUGUGUGAAGAAGGUCUUCGGAUUGUAAAGCACUUUAAGUUGGGAGGAAGGGCAGUAAGUUAAUACCUUGCUGUUUUGACGUUACCAACAGAAUAAGCACCGGCUAACUUCGUG
rnacentral:rRNA from 1 species